rnacentral:antisense_RNA from 1 species
ACAACUGCAGCGAGAGAAGAGGCUGGCAGCAUGGGUGGCAGGNNGCUUGGCAGCCUCACAGGAUGCCUGCAAAUACCUUUCACUUAUGCAGUUUGGCAGUGCAGUGGUGCAUGGAGAUAGCGUCUUGGGCCUGAGAUGAACCAUCCAAUCUCCUGCCUCGAGUAUUGAAGCCUGGCUACUGUGACUGUGGGGAAGGGAUUAAUGGUCUCAGCAUUCAGUCACAUUUCAAAGGCCAGAUCUUUCCCAGGGCUUAAGCUGUUCCUUGGAUACUUUUGAAGUUUGCAUGGUAGUGCAAUAAGAUGACCUACAUGAUUUACCACUGCAAAAUUUUGAAAUGUGUCAUUGGGUUUUCAUUCCAAGCAGCAAUGGGAAAUCAUUGCUGAUGGUUUACACAUCUUCUUCCCACAUUAUAUUGUAACUUUCUU